rnacentral:rRNA from 1 species
UACAGAGGGUGCAAACGUUGCUCGGAAUUACUGGGCGUAAAGCGCGUGUAGGCGGUUUCGCGAGUCCGAUGUGAAAGCCCGGGGCCCAACCCCGGAAGUGCAUUGGAUACUACGAAGCUUGAGUGCUGGAGAGGAGAGCGGAAUUCCCGGUGUAGAGGUGAAAUUCGUAGAUAUCGGGAGGAACACCAGUGGCGAAGGCGGCUCUCUGGACAGACACUGACGCUGAUACGCGAAAGCGCGGGGAUCAAACAGG